rnacentral:rRNA from 1 species
CCUACGGGAGUCUGCAGUGGGGAAUAUUGGACAAUGGGCGAAAGCCUGAUCCAGCCAUGCCGCGUGUGUGAAGAAGGCCUUCGGGUUGUAAAGCACUUUCAGUGGGGAAGAAAGCCUUGGGGCUAAUACCCUCGAGGAAGGACAUCACCCACAGAAGAAGCACCGGCUAACUCCGUGCCAGCAGCCGCGGUAAUACGGAGGGUGCGAGCGUUAAUCGGAAUUACUGGGCGUAAAGCGCGCGUAGGCGGUCUGAUAAGCCGGUUGUGAAAGCCCCGGGCUCAACCUGGGAACGGCAUCCGGAACUGUCAGGCUAGAGUGCAGGAGAGGAAGGUAGAAUUCCCGGUGUAGCGGUGAAAUGCGUAGAGAUCGGGAGGAAUACCAGUGGCGAAGGCGGCCUUCUGGACUGACACUGACGCUGAGGUGCGAAAGCGUGGGUAGCAAACAGGAUUAGAUACCCGGGUAGUC